rnacentral:lncRNA from 1 species
CCGGAAUCCGUUCCUCGAACAAAAGAAACAUAGCUGAUGCUAGAAUCUACCUCAGUGCAGCCCUAACCAACAAAAACACAUGUUUAGAUGGUCUUGAUUCUGCUUCUGGUACAUAUAAACCAAUUCUUGUGGAUUCUAUUAUCAACACUUACAAACAUGUAAGUAACUCUCUUUCUAUGCUUUCUAAUCAUGCACCUGAGCCUUCAAAUCAAAAGGGUCACAACAAAAAUUUGGUUUCUCCAAAAUGGUUAUCAAAAAGGUUAGAUUUUGAUGAAUAUGAUCCAAAUGAAAUGCUAGUUGUAUCUGCAGAUGGAAGUGGAAACUUUAGCACUAUUAAUGAUGCUAUAAACUUUGCUCCAAAUAAUAGUUUGGUUAGGAUAGUUAUUUAUGUUAAAGAAGGGUAUUAUGAUGAAAAUGUUGAAAUACCAAGUUAUAAAACUAACAUUGUGAUGCUUGGUGAUGGAAGUGAUUCUACUGUCAUCACUGGUAACAGAAGUGUUGUUGAUGGAUGGACCACUUUCAGAUCUGCAACUUUAGGUGA